CAAGGAAUAGUUUAAUCUUAGAACUCUGGCUUUGGGAGCCAGGGGUGGGAGUUAAAAUCUCUUUUCCUUGA
rnacentral:tRNA from 1 species